rnacentral:other from 1 species
ACGACAUCAGAUUCCCUGGUGUACGAAUUUUAAGUGCUUCUUGCGAAAGCAAGCUUUAUCCCGGCCAUUGUCCGGCCGGGAUGU